AGAGUUUGAUCCUGGCUCAGGAUGAACGCUGGCGGUAUGCUUAACACAUGCAAGUCGAACGGAAGUCUUCGGACUUUAGUGGCGGACGGGUGAGUAACGCGUGAGAAUCUGGCUUUAGGUCGGGGACAACAGUUGGAAACGACUGCUAAUACCGGAUAUGCCGAGAGGUGAAAGAUUAAUUGCCUGAAGAAGAGCUCGCGUCUGAUUAGCUAGUUGGUGGGGUAAGAGCUCACCAAGGCGACGAUCAGUAGCUGGUCUGAGAGGACGAUCAGCCACACUGGGACUGAGACACGGCCCAGACUCCUACGGGAGGCAGCAGUGGGGAAUUUUCCGCAAUGGGCGAAAGCCUGACGGAGCAAUACCGCGUGAGGGAGGAAGGCUCUUGGGUUGUAAACCUCUUUUCUUAGGGAAGAAAAAAAUGACGGUACCUAAGGAAUCAGCAUCGGCUAACUCCGUGCCAGCAGCCGCGGCAAUACGGAGGAUGCAAGCGUUAUCCGGAAUGAUUGGGCGUAAAGCGUCCGCAGGUGGCAUUUCAAGUCUGCGGUCAAAGGUCGAGGCUCAACCUCGAACAGGCCGUGGAAACUGAAAAGCUAGAGUGUGGUAGGGGCAGAGGGAAUUCCCAGUGUAGCGGUGAAAUGCGUAGAGAUUGGGAAGAACACCGGUGGCGAAAGGCUCUGCUAGGCCAAGACUGACACUGAGGGACGAAAGCUAGGGGAGCGAAUGGGAUUAGAUACCCUAGUAGUCC
rnacentral:rRNA from 1 species